AUAAGAGGUCCCGCCUGCCCUGUGACCACAAGUUUAACGGCCGCGGUAUUUUGACCGUGCAAAGGUAGCGUAAUCACUUGUCUUUUAAAUGAAGACCUGUAUGAAUGGCAUAACGAGGGCUAAGCUGUCUCCUCUCCCCAGUCAAUGAAAUUGAUCUUUCCGUGCAGAAGCGGGAAUGAGAACAUAAGACGAGAAGACCCUAUGGAGCUUAAGACACAAGGCAGCGAACGUUAAGACACCUGGACGAACAGCUACAACCAAGUUAGUGCCUGCCCUCUUGUCUUUGGUUGGGGCGACCGCGGGGGAACGAAAAUCCCCCACGUGGAACAGGACCUGAUCCUUAAAACCAGAGCCUCAGCUCUAGUAAACAGAACAUCUGACCAAAAAGAUCCGGUAAUACCGAUCAACGGACCGAGUUACCCUAGGGAUAACAGCGCAAUCCCCUUUCAGAGCCCAUAUCGACAAGGGGGUUUACGACCUCGAUGUUGGAUCAGGACCCCCUAAUGGUGCAGCCGCUAUUAAGGGUUCGUUUGUUCAACGAUUAAAGUCC
rnacentral:rRNA from 1 species